ensembl:lncRNA
GGUCUCAGCGCCUGGCCCUUCUGCUCAUUCGCCUCCGAGGCUGUAAUGAAAAGCAUAUUCGCCACUGUAUCUUUCCCAAGAACAUAAAAUCCCCUUCUCUGCCUCCAAAAAAGGCAAAGAGAGGGCUUGCUGCUUCCUGGCCUGCCCAACAAACAACUGUUGCCCCCAAGCCUGGUGUGACAAGCAGGGAGCCCCGGCCCAGCGCCGUCCGGCAGCGUUCCAGGGUCCCAGGGGCGGCCAGUGAGUCCCUUGGCUCCACCUCACAGAUCACUGUUGCCCAUCAAAAGCCACUACCCUGGUGGUUGCUGGACAGAAGUGGCAAGCACCCAGCUUCCUGUGAUGGCUUAGCUCCUGAAUGUCCCCCGAGAGCCUCAUGUGUUCAGAGGUGGCUUUCGGAGGUGACUGUAUCAUGGGAGCGCUGUGCUCACCAGUAGAUUGGUCCGCUCGCAAGUUUGGAGCUGAAUGUGCUGUUAGGAGGCAGAGUCCAGAAAGUUGUAUCUCCCCCGGCUCGGCUCAUCCUGUCUCUGUUUGCUUCCUGGCCACCAACGGGUGAGUGGCCUCCUCCUCUAGGCCUUUACCCAGGGCCUUCCUGCCUUGGAGCCAGCUGACCGACCUUGGGCUGAAUCCUCUGAAAACCGUGAGCCCAGAUAAACCUCCUUCCCUUAAGUUGUCAGUGUCAGGUAUUUUGUCCCAGCAGCAAGAAAGUGACUAAGACACUCCCCGAGGCAGGGAAUGACCUCGCGAGGCCCCAGUCCUGACCCACACAGCAGCCCAGGUGUUCCCGGGUGGGGCCUCCUGCCGCCGGAUGCGGGCUAAUUGGACAGUGUGCAGCACGAAGCCCCAUACCGUGCUGGGUCUUCACAGACACCACGGGAGGCCAGACUCCGCUCUGAAGGGAUAAUCCGACACAAUGUUGCACCCAAAAAUAAUUCAAGUCACCAGAGGUUAAGAGUGUCAUCUUGGCUCCCAAAGUGAGAAGGCUGAAGUCUCUUCAUGCUGAGGAAACUGUUUUUAUGCCAAAGCCGAGGACACUGGGGCCCAUGGGCUCCAUGUCUGACUGAACUGAACCAGCGUGGUCUGGGCGUGGAGGAUCCGCCUGAAGUCUGUUACCAGUAGCCGUAAAAAGAGAACUGGAGGG